rnacentral:rRNA from 1 species
AUACGGAGGAUGCGAGCGUUAUCCGGAUUUAUUGGGUUUAAAGGGUGCGUAGGCGGUUUCUUAAGUCAGCGGUAAAAUUUCAGGGCUUAACCCUGUCGUGCCGUUGAAACUGGGGGACUUGAGUCUGGAUGAAGUGGGCGGAAUUUGUAGUGUAGCGGUGAAAUGCAUAGAUAUUACAAGGAACUCCAAUUGCGCAGGCAGCUCACUAAACCAUCACUGACGCUGAAGCACGAAAGCGUGGGUAUCAAACAGGAUUAGAUACCCUGGUAGUCCACGCAGUAAACGAUGAUUACUCGCUGUUUGCGAUAUAUUGUAAGCGGCUUAGCGAAAGCGUUAAGUAAUCCACCUGGGGAGUACGCCGGCAACGGUGAA